rnacentral:rRNA from 1 species
UGGGGAAUAUUGGACAAUGGGGGGAACCCUGAUCCAGCCAUGCCGCGUGUGUGAAGAAGGCCUUAUGGUUGUAAAGCACUUUAAGCAGUGAAGAAUACAUCAUGGCUAAUAUCCGUGAUGAAUGACAUUAGCUGCAGAAUAAGCACCGGCUAACUCUGUGCCAGCAGCCGCGGUAAUACAGAGGGUGCGAGCGUUAAUCGGAAUUACUGGGCGUAAAGCGAGCGUAGGUGGUUUAUUAAGUCAGAUGUGAAAUCCCUGGGCUUAACCUAAGAACUGCAUCUGAUACUGACAAACUAGAGUAGGUGAGAGGAAAGUAGAAUUCCAGGUGUAGCGGUGAAAUGCGUAGAGAUCUGGAGGAAUACCGAUGGCGAAGGCAGCUUUCUGGCAUCAUACUGACACUGAGGUUCGAAAGCGUGGGUAGCAAACAGGAUUAGAUACCCUGGUAGUCCACGCCGUAAACGAUGUCUACCAGUCGUUGGGUCUUUUAAAGACUUAGUGACGCAGUUAACGCGAUAAGUAGACCGCCUGGGGAGUACGGCCGCAAGGUUA